rnacentral:rRNA from 1 species
AUUGAACGCUGGCGGCAUGCCUUACACAUGCAAGUCGAACGGCAGCACGGGUGCUUGCACCUGGUGGCGAGUGGCGAACGGGUGAGUAAUACAUCGGAACGUACCUUAUCGUGGGGGAUAACGCAGCGAAAGCUGUGCUAAUACCGCAUACGCCCUGAGGGGGAAAGCGGGGGAUCGCAAGACAUGGCGCGAUUAGAGCGGCCGAUGCCUGAUUAGCUUGUUGGUGGGGUAAAAGCCCACCAAGGCGACGAUCAGUAGCUGGUCUGAGAGGACGAUCAGCCACACUGGGACUGAGACACGGCCCAGACUCCUACGGGAGGCAGCAGUGGGGAAUUUUGGGCAAUGGGGGCAACCCUGACCCAGCAAUGCCGCGUGAGUGAAGAAGGCCUUCGGGUUGUAAAGCUCUUUUGUCAGGGAAGAAACACCGGCUCUAACACAGUCCGGGAAUGACGGUACCUGAAGAAUAAGCACCGGCUAACUACGUGCCAGCCGCCGCCGUAA